rfam:Salmo salar isolate Sally breed double haploid chromosome ssa11, whole genome shotgun sequence.
UGAAUUCACUACUGUAAAUCGCUCUGGAUAAGAGCGUCUGCUAAAUGACUAAAA